UGAGGAAUAUUGGACAAUGGGUGAGAGCCUGAUCCAGCCAUCCCGCGUGAAGGAUGACGGUCCUAUGGAUUGUAAACUUCUUUUGUACAGGGAUAAACCUACUCUCGUGAGGGUAGCUGAAGGUACUGUACGAAUAAGCACCGGCUACAUCCGUGCCAGCAGCCGCGGUAAUACGGAGGGUGCAAGCGUUAUCCGGAUUUAUUGGGUUUAAAGGGUCCGUAGGCGGACUUGUAAGUCAGUGGUGAAAUCUCAUAGCUUAACUAUGAAACUGCCAUUGAUACUGCAGGUCUUGAGUAAAUUUGAAGUGGCUGGAAUAAGUAGUGUAGCGGUGAAAUGCAUAGAUAUUACUUAGAACACCAAUUGCGAAGGCAGGUCACUAAGAUUUAACUGACGCUGAUGGACGAAAGCGUGGGGAGCGAACA
rnacentral:rRNA from 1 species